rnacentral:rRNA from 1 species
UACGUAGGUGGCAAGCGUUGUCCGGAUUUAUUGGGUUUAAAGGGUGCGUAGGCGGUUCCAUAAGUCAGUGGUGAAAUACGGCAGCUCAACUGUCGAGGUGCCAUUGAUACUGCGGAACUUGAGUACUGAUGAGGUAGGCGGAAUUGACGGUGUAGCGGUGAAAUGCUUAGAUAUCGUCAAGAACACCGAUAGCGAAGGCAGCUUACCAAGCAGUAACUGACGCUGAGGCACGAAAGCGUGGGGAUCAAACAGG